UGUCCUAUUAGAAUUGUCCAAUCUAUCUCUCACCACCAAUCUUCCGUCUCCCUCACUUUUUGUCUCUUUCAAACCAUAGUAUCCCUGUUUUUUCUCUCGGUUCUUUACUAAUCAUCACAAAUUCUCUCUCUUUUGGUGUAGUUGACCAUUCUCCGAAGAAGAUACUGCAAAUCUCAUCAAUUCACGAUCUAUUGCUCUUUAUUCCAAGGUAUGUUGAUUGUGAUUCCAUCCUCGAUUCAGUCGCCGGUUGACGUUUUGAAGACGACGGAGAGCGUUAUGUAAAAGAGCCGCAUUUCUGACCAAGCCACAAGUUGGCUAUUUUUCCUUCCAACAUGAGUUAUCAAAAACAUCAUCCACCACAAGUCCGGCUAUGUAUCCCAGAAUUUCCUUUAUGUUGAAAUGGAGAAUAGCUCCGAAACCCAGUUCAUGAACGGUUUCCUUCUGCCGUGGAGUUAGGCUUUUUAAACAGUUCAAGAACUCGGUUGGGGUCCGUCGACAGUAGAGAUGGUCGACUUUCUUCCCCCUCGGCUUCUUUUUAUCUGCGUCUUCAUGAAAGGUACUCAUCUCGGCCCUUUGCUCAGCCAAUCUCUCCCUGAACUUUUGCGCAAUCACAAUUGGAAGAACAUCAUCCACCGCUUCGUCAAUGUCCAACCUAGGCUGCUUCACUGUUGUCCAAAAAUCAAUAAUGUAUCGCAUUAAUAUUAUAUAAUGCACACUACUAACUGUAUAAUGUACAAAAGGAAGCAAAUAAUGCACGAAUGAAUAUAACAUUAUCUCAACCAUUGACCUUUUACGAAA